UGUGUGUGUGUGUGUGUGUAUAUAUAUAUAUAUAUAUUCUUUUGUCUGGUGAAAAUUUUUCCCCUAGAACCUAACUCUUCACCAUUUACAUUAAUGCUUAUGCGGAAAUUGCAUUUGCUUAACAUUAUUUCACUUAAAGUGGCAUUUUUCAGCAACAUAACUACAAUGUUAAGCAAGAAGUUACUGUAUCAGCUUUGGAGCCAUAAUGGAAUA